rnacentral:rRNA from 1 species
UGGGGAAUAUUGCACAAUGGGCGCAAGCCUGAUGCAGCCAUGCCGCGUGUGUGAAGAAGGCCUUCGGGUUGUAAAGCACUUUCAGCGGGGUGGAAGGCGAUAAGGUUAAUAACCUUGUCGAUUGACGUUACCCGCAGAAGAAGCACCGGCUAACUCCGUGCCAGCAGCCGCGGUAAUACGGAGGGUGCAAGCGUUAAUCGGAAUUACUGGGCGUAAAGCGCACGCAGGCGGUCUGUCAAGUCGGAUGUGAAAUCCCCGGGCUCAACCUGGGAACUGCAUUCGAAACUGGCAGGCUAGAGUCUUGUAGAGGGGGGUAGAAUUCCAGGUGUAGCGGUGAAAUGCGUAGAGAUCUGGAGGAAUACCGGUGACGAAGGCGGCCCCCUGGACAAAGACUGACGCUCAGGUGCGAAAGCGUGGGGAGCAAACAGG